rnacentral:rRNA from 1 species
ACGGAAGGCAGCAGUGGGGAAUAUUGCACAAUGGGCGCAAGCCUGAUGCAGCGAUGCCGCGUGAGGGAAGAAGGUUUUCGGUAUGUAAAGCUCUUUAAGCAGGGAAGAUAAUGACGGUACCUGCAGAAUAAGCCCCGGCUAACUACGUGCCAGCAGCCGCGGUAAUACGUAGGGGGCAAGCGUUAUCCGGAUUUACUGGGUGUAAAGGGAGCGUAGACGGCACAGCAAGUCUGAAGUGAAAUGUAGGGGCUUAACCCCUGAACUGCUUUGGAAACUGUUGGGCUUGAGUACCGGAGGGGCAGGCGGAAUUCCUGGUGUAGCGGUGAAAUGCGUAGAUAUCAGGAAGAACGCCGGUGGCGAAGGCGGCCUGCUGGACGGUAACUGACGUUGAUGCUCGAAAGCGUGGGGAGCAAACAGGAUUAGAUACCCUGGUA